GCUUGGGAAAGAAGCGGUCAAACGAAUCAAGCACGAGAAGAAAAGCAUAUUCGGAUGCGAGGAAAUAACAUAAGUAUGCGUUGCUUAAACUAGAAAGCUUUAAAGCAAAAGUUAUGUAAACGGGUCAAUACCUUGACCCGAGCCAGGAAGAAACGGUAAGUCAAAUGGAUAAGCGGUUUGAAAGAUACGAAAGAUUUCGUGUCAAAUUACGGCAAAAUGGAAAAGUUGCAUACAGGGUGCCACCGUAAGUUACGGUGGAGCUGAUAUGGUUACAGUGGUAACCUACUGUUGUACGGUAGAAGAGUAUGAACGCAGGGGCCACCGUAACUUACGGUGCCACCGUAAGGCACCGUAAGUUACGGUGGAGAUUAUUUUUCAAGUCCUUGUUUUUCUUUUGAACAUCAAUUGUUUCCCGUACUCGUUUGGACAUGAUUUAAACCCCGUAAGACUAAAGCAUUUCAUGUUUAUGAAAUGUAGGUACACUUUGGGAUGCCGGAAGACGAUCAAGCUCAACGAAGAACCGAACACACCAUAGAUACACGCUUCCGCAC